UUUCUCAAAGUUGUUUCAGCUAAGAAACAUGCCGAAAGUUGGUUUGCUUCAUAAAUAAAUCGAGAAAGUUGUACUUUUUGGUCAGAAUCCCAGCUUGGCCAUCCAAAAGAAGCGAAGACAACUCCACUUUCUAUUCCCUUCUUUGUCCCAAAGCAAUGUCAUCAAGAAUUUUAGUUUCUCACAGAAAUGUAGUAUAACGGUUACAUAUCCAGUUCCCAUUAGUACAAAUCUUAGUUAUAAUAUUAACCUAUCUUUAAUAUGUUCUGCAUCCUUCUAUAUAAAAGCCUAAUAUUUCCUCAAUAGCCAUUGGCGAUUUCUCCCAACACAUCUUUCUUAGCAAGAAAGGAAAAGUUAAGAAGAUAUUAUUUUGUUUUAUUUUAUCAAUGGCUCUUUUGUGUGUUAGCAAGAAGAAAAUUGUGGUGAAGCGGGCAUGGAAGAGGUUCACACACAAGCUCAGAUCCAAAUUUAGAGACAUCAAGAUUGCUGCAUCGGUCAGAGAUUCGACUUCUCGUCUCCUCCGUGUCAUCAGUCACCAUCUCAUCGUGCCUUUCAGGACAAGUGUCGUAGAAGGCAUAGUGAGAGCAUUUACAAACAAAUCUACCAAUACGAAGGCCAACGAUGGAGGCAGGGGGAGACCAAGAGUGAUGAGAAAGUUGUGGGGCGAAAAAAGGAAAAAGAAGAAGAGGAGGGGCCGCAGGAGAUUGUUGAUUCGAUGGAAGAUGCUUGGAUGAGAGUGGUGGCUGCAUCGCCGCACCUUAGGGUGGAUGAAAAAGCCGACCAAUUCAUCAAUAAGUUUAGAGAGGCGAUGAGACUGGAUAAGGAGAGAUCUUUACUUGAAUUCCAAGAAAGGUUAAUUCGAAGUGCUUGAUUUUAUUGAUUCUUUAUUCUUCUUCUUUUUUUUUUCCUUACUUGUGCUUUUUAAAGGUUGCUUCACGGAUGGAUUUGCAUAAAUUUUACGCUUUAGGAUUGAAAAAUAUAUUUGGAAAAAAAAAUCCUUACUGGACUUUAGCUAAACUUGGAACAUAUAUAAUUAAGAAGAACUGAGUAAGAUGAUCUGCAUAUAAAAUCUCCAACAUGAUCGAUUUGCAUGAGUUAUUUUCUCACACAAUGUGUAAGAUUUUUUUUGUGUAUUGAGUACCGAUAGCAACA